AGAGACCACUGAAAAUGGAAUUAAUAAUGAAAUAAUAAUACAUGAUAAAACAUUUAAAUAUUAUACAUAGAUAUAUUGUUACUGAAUAUAUCGUUUUAUAGUUUUUUUUAUUAAAUUCUAAUUUUUUACAAAAAAGUGCAUUUUCUUAUCUGUUUUAUAAAUUCUAUAUGAAAAUACUUAUUUUAUUUAUGAAUUAAUGUUGUGUGGGAGGCAGCCGGUAC
rnacentral:lncRNA from 1 species